rnacentral:tRNA from 1 species
AGCCCCAUAGUACAGUGGUCAAGUAUGCGGCCCUUUGAAGGCCGUGACCCCGGUUCGAAUCCGGGUGGGGCUA